rnacentral:snRNA from 1 species
UCAGCAUAUCAGCCUUCUGGCUAAGAUCAAGUGUAGCUCAUUUUUUGGCACCAAGAGAUGAGUAUCAGAGCUGGCUCUGGUCCUCCUGAUGCCAGUUUGGUAUUGCAGUACCUCCAGGCCCAGUGCCAGAUCACUUGGCAGGAAACACCUGCUCUUUUUUGUUUUUUUUAAAGGCCACCAAAAAAAAGAUUCCUGUCAUCAUUUUUGGCACCAGGGGAGGGCAAGAGCUUGCUCAAGCUUCUCCAAGAGCCGACCUGGUAUUGCAGUACCUCAAGGCCCACUGCUCAGUCUUU